UACGAAGGGGGCUAGCGUUGCUCGGAAUCACUGGGCGUAAAGCGCACGUAGGCGGAUCGUUAAGUCAGGGGUGAAAUCCUGGAGCUCAACUCCAGAACUGCCUUUGAUACUGGCGAUCUUGAGUUCGGGAGAGGUGAGUGGAACUGCGAGUGUAGAGGUGAAAUUCGUAGAUAUUCGCAAGAACACCAGUGGCGAAGGCGGCUCACUGGCCCGAUACUGACGCUGAGGCACGAAAGCGUGGGGAGCAAACAGG
rnacentral:rRNA from 1 species